rnacentral:rRNA from 1 species
UACGGGGGGGGCAAGCGUUGUUCGGAAUUACUGGGCGUAAAGGGCUCGUAGGGGGCCAACUAAGUCAGACGUGAAAUCCCUCGGCUUAACCGGGGAACUGCGUCUGAUACUGGAUGGCUUGAGUUUGGGAGAGGGACGCGGAAUUCCAGGUGUAGCGGUGAAAUGCGUAGAUAUCUGGAGGAACACCGGUGGCGAAGGCGGCGUCCUGGACCAAUACUGACACUGAGUGAGCGAAAGCCAGGGGAGCAAACGGG